rnacentral:snRNA from 2 species
GCGCCCGGCCUAGCAUAUAUAUUAAAAUUGGAUGUUACGAAGAAGAUUAGCAUGCCUCCUGUGAAAGGAUGACAUGCUGACGUGGAAAUUCGUGCUCCAUAUUUUU